CCUACGGGAGGCCGCAGUGAGGAAUAUUGGUCAAUGGACGCAAGUCUGAACCAGCCAUGCCGCGUGCAGGAUGACGGCUCUAUGAGUUGUAAACUGCUUUUGUACGAGGGUAAACCCCGAUACGUGUAUAGGGUUGAAAGUAUCGUACGAAUAAGGAUCGGCUAACUCCGUGCCAGCAGCCGCGGUAAUACGGAGGAUCCGAGCGUUAUCCGGAUUUAUUGGGUUUAAAGGGUGCGUAGGCGGAAUGCCAAGUCAGCGGUAAAAUCGCGGGGCUCAAACUCGCACCGCCGUUGAAACUGGCGUUGUUGAGUGGGCGAGAAGUAUGCGGAAGGCGUGGUGUAGCGGUGAAAUGCAUAGAUAGCACGCAGAACUCCGAUUGCGAAGGCAGCAUACCGGCGCCCAACUGACGCUGAAGCACGAAAGCGUGGGUAUCGAACAGGAUUAGAUACCCUUGUAGUC
rnacentral:rRNA from 1 species